rnacentral:rRNA from 1 species
UACGGAGGGGGCUAGCGUUGUUCGGAAUUACUGGGCGUAAAGCGCGCGUAGGCGGACCUGCAAGUCGGGGGUGAAAGCCCGAGGCUCAACCUCGGAGCUGCCUUCGAUACUGCGGGUCUCGAGUCCGGGAGAGGUGAGUGGAAUUCCUAGUGUAGAGGUGAAAUUCGUAGAUAUUAGGAAGAACACCAGUGGCGAAGGCGGCUCACUGGCCCGGUACUGACGCUGAGGCGCGAAAGCGUGGGGAGCAAACAGG